rnacentral:rRNA from 1 species
UCAGAUCACGUAAGGUUUUAAAGGUUGAACAAACCUACCUUCUAGGCUGCUGCACUUAGAGGAAACCUUAAGCCAACAUCGAGGUGCCAAACCCCCCUGUCAAUUUGAGCUCUUGAGGGGGAUUAGUCUGUUAUCCCUGUGGUAGCUCUUCUCUUGAUUAUUAUUAUAGAUCAUUUAAGUGACUAAUAGGUCUCUAUUAAAAGGAAGCUUUAUUUCUUCCUUAGUCGCCCCAACUAAACCUUUAUAAAUUUUAUAAUUUAGUGUAGGUAAAGCUCAACAGGGUCUUUUUGUCCUUUAGUUAAAUUUAGGCGUCUUCACCUAAAGCUUAGUUUAUAGAUUUGUAAAGGAGACAGCUGCACUUUCGUGUGUCCAUUCAUACUAGCCUCUAAUUAGGAGGCAAAUUAUUAUGCUACCUUUGCACGGUCAGGAUACCGCGGCCGUUUAAUGUCUCACUGGGCAGGAUGUACCUAGGAUGUUUAGUCCCUAGGCUAUGUUUUUGAUAAACAGGC